rnacentral:rRNA from 1 species
GACGAACGCUGGCGGCGUGCUUAAAACAUGCAAGUCGAACGGACUUCUCAUGAAGCUUGCGAUUGAGAAGUUAGUGGCGGACGGGUGAGUAACGCGUGGGCAACCUGCCCCUGAGCCCGGGAUAACAGUUCGAAAGGACUGCUAAGACCGGAUAUACUUGCGGGGAAGCAUUUCACUGCAAGGAAAGGGAGCGCUCAGGGAUGGGCCCGCGUCCCAUUAGCUAGUUGGUGAGGUAACGGCCCACCAAGGCGACGAUGGGUAGCCGGCCUGAGAGGGUGAACGGCCACACUGGGACUGAGACACGGCCCAGACUCCUACGGGAGGCAGCAGUUGGGAAUCUUCGGCAAUGGGCGCAAGCCUGCCGAGCAACGCCGCGUGAGUGAUGAAGGUUUUCGGAUUGUAAAGCUCUGUCUUCCGGGACGAUAAUGACGGUACCGGAGGAGGAAGCCACGGCUAACUACGUG